GCUGAACAUUCACUUUGGCCUCCAUUCUGAGAAAAAAGGCUUGGAAGUAGUAUCAGCAGAGGAAUUAUGGAAGUUUCCCAGGAGAACAUGGGAGUUUUACCUCUUCUGUCACAAUUCCCCUGGGUGUCAUGAGGUCCCUGGAGACCCACCAUAACACCCUUGGGGAUGGUGAUCCACUGUUUGAGAAACUCUACCGCUUGCACAAUACAGAGAGAUCCAUGAGGCAGCUAGAUGUCAGAAAUUUGUGAAACUUUUGAGGUGCAGCAAUUACCAAGGCAAAUUUGGCUGUCCUUAUAUUCAGAUGGGAAAACUGAUGGAGGGGAGAUUAAGUGACUCACACAAGGACAUGAAGGGGAUCAGUGUCAGACUAAGGAGUAAAGCACUAGAGCCUAAAUUGUCACACUUCCUGGAGCACCUCCCUUAGAAGUCCUCCAUCUUACUUCAGAUCAAGUCCAAACCUGCGCAUCCUACAAUAAAUGGAAAGUGUUACAUUAGCUUCAACCAUCUCUCCC